rnacentral:lncRNA from 1 species
GUGUACAUCUGUUUGCUGUGUGGGACUGAUCACCACCCCUUCCACGUUAGCAGUCAUGGAUCAUUUCUGCUGACAGAAGACAAACUACCUGGUGACCAGGUCAGCCCUAGUUCCUAGGCUUCUGAAUUCCCAGUCCUGCAACAAGGCAACAUCUGGAGAAGGGACAGCUGGAGGCAGGGGACCAUGUCAGUCCCACAGCUGCAGAGGCAUUCUAUCCAAAAUGCGCAGAUAAUUCCUAUACAGUAAAAAUGAAGCAUAAAAUUGCACUGUACCAAGAGGAAAACGAAUAAAACAGAUCUUGCUGAGCAGGAGCCAAGCUAAAUGAGUCUAACACUCUUCAGGAACCUGCCCUACUUCAGCUCCUGUUGCCCAAACCACAGAGCAGUGAUGGGCUUGCCAAAACACUGACUGACAGCCUGGUGAUCCCAAAGUGGCUCCAUCCUUUCAGAUGGUAUCCAGCACCAUUGGCUUUUCUGUAACAGGGACUGGGGCUGAACACCACAUCUAUACAUCCAUGGGCUCAUACUCUUCUGUUUCAAAACCCCCCAUGUACAUUUUUCGGGCAGUUUCUUUGCUUGACUAUUGUCUUUCCAGGUUGUCUUAUUCCUUCAAAUAAAAAAGGCUUAAAGAAGAGGUUGCUGUAGAAUUUAACAUUUAAGAUGAAGAGUGGGAGGUCUGAAGUCACCUUUCCAGGUGUUUCCAUCACUGCAAAGUGAAUGGAGGACUCAGGACCUGUUGCACAGCUGCAGCCUGACUCACCUGCUGCUGCACUUUGUCUUUGCAGUUGUUGCCAUUAAUCUGAACCAUGUGGCUGCUGCCAUCUUUUAACAGCCACAUAUUUUCCACACAUUUCCUGGUCACUGCAGUGCUUUGUUCCGAUGUCUUUGAGAAAACAUCUGCCCCAAGGAUUCCCCUUUUUAUAACCUCUUUAAAAUAUGUCACCAUCUGCUCUUUCUUAAAAUCUCUUCCUUGAUCCCCUCACCAGUGCCUGGCCCCUCAGUGACCUCCCAUUUCUUAGCAAGGAGAUUGAGGAGGGAUGUUCAUUCCUUUGCUUUGUAUAAUACAGCAUUCUGUAUUAUGUUAUGGUCAAGUGGCCUGUUCAGUCUAUAGCAGAGAAGUACCUCUGCUUGAGCAGAGUGAUGCCUCUUUGGGCUGCUGAAGGCCCUCUCCUUCUUGGCAUGGGUAGUGUUGGCUGUACCAACCCCCCACCCUGCCUCUCCCAGCACCAGCCCAGCUUAAGAUUGGGUUCUUGCAGCCUAACAAAUCAUUUUCCCCUCUGUGCUAAAGCCCACUUGCAGCAAGCACCCAGUUAUAGCCGCCCCUGAACUUCCACUGGUUGCUCCUCCACUUGGUCAGCUUGCUUCUUUCUUUAACUCCUUUUCUGCUGGGUACAUAGCACGCUCUUUUUGCUGCUCUUUUUGAGUGAAACAUUUCUAUGUGCUGUCUCCAUUUAUUCUGCCUUUUUUUCAGCUUUAUUUGACUCAAUUCUUCAAAGCCAAAAGUGUACUUUUUUAGCAAUAGUAAGAUCAGCAAGAAGUUCCUCUUCCUCUACUGCCCUUUCCAAUCCAGGUUCCCAAUGUGCCUUUGCUCCCUAAAACCUUCACCAGAUUCUUAAGGUUUCUUUCCCCUUCUGUGUGAGGCAUCUCCAGAAAAAUCCCUAUUUCUGCAGAGACUCCGACACUGAUGACAUUGUUUGAUUUUCUUAAUGCUCCCUUACAGCUCCCUUUCCUUAUAUCUGCCUGCUGUCCAGCUAUUCCACAAACGAAAAUGUCACUUCAGGUUUUCUCAUACGGAUGAGAAAUAUGAUUGCACAACUGUGAAGGCAUUGUUUACUUUAGUUUUGUUUUCCAUCGAAUCAUAGAAUAUCCCAAGCUGGAAGGGAUAUUCAUAGAAUCACUAAGGUUGGAAAAGACCCACAGGAUCAUCCAG